rnacentral:snRNA from 1 species
GCCCCUGCGCAAGGAUGACACGCAAAUUCGUGAAAGCGUCCCUAU